AAAAAAAAAAAAAAAAUCAAUUCACUCACACUUCGAAAACGAGCCAUCUGUUUCACAGGCAAACAGCAAAUAGAAUUUCAAUCAAAGGAUUCAAGUCUCUCUACUUAAAAAAGCAGCCUUUCAGCAAGCCACCUGCAGAAACAAAGACUUGAGCAUCAGGGUUUAGAGGGAGGUUUGUGUCUUUCGGCUUUCGGGAAUUUAGGAUUAGCGCUUGUAGCUGAAUGGUCUGGUUUGGGUAUUAAGGUCCUACAUUAGAGUGCAUAAUGUGCCCACAAAUACAUCGUUACAUGGGCCCAAUUUUGGGCCCAAUUUAUUUCCAACUCAAAUAAUCUAUUUCUGCAGAUUGCUAGCCCGCACUUUUGUUCUGUAUGUGCCAUUGCUGAAAAAUUGAUCACUGCAAUUUUCAUUUGCUUGGAACAUUGGUUGCUACUCAUAAAUUUAUGGUUUACCCAAUUUCUCAUGUAAAAGGGGAUAUCGAAAUCUAGAAUAUAUAUUCCCUCAUCCCAAAUCUAUGACAAACUCACCUGCCCAUUCACGUGUUCUUCACCACUCAAACCUAAAUGCUUUCAUCUCAUAACCCUACUCGGAUCUUUUUUCUUUAUUACACUCACCAGCCUCUUGCUUUUUCUAGCAAACCCAUUGUAAAAAGCCUAAAGGGUUCCCGCCCUUUCCAGGUCGGCUUUAGACACCCUCUUAUAAAAGUCCCCUCUGCAAGGCAAUAGCUUCACACUCUCCCAUCUAACAAAUCUAACUACAUUAGACUCUGAAUUUCCAAUAUUUUUCUCCAUUUUUGUCACUAGAAUGAGACCAGCAAUCAUAUUCAUUAUCUUCCUAUUCCUUUCAUGGGUAACAAGUUCCAAGGGAUGGGGUUCCAAUAGUAGGGACAGUUAUGUUAGAGAUGCAUGUAGUGU
rnacentral:misc_RNA from 1 species